AUGGCCGGACCUCAGCACCGGCGCUGCCUCUGCGUUUCCCUGGCGCUGCUGGCGCUCAUCGCCGUCGUGAUUCUCUGCGGUUCGCUCCUCGGUCGCCAGAGCUGCUCGGCGGGGCUUUUCAAGCGCGGCGCCGUGGCCGCCGACUCCGGGACUUGCUCGAAGAUCGGCAGGGACAUUCUGCAGCAGGGGGGCUCGGCAGUAGAUGGCGCUAUUGCAGCACUACUCUGCACCUCUAUCAUUAAUCCACAGAGCAUGGGCCUAGGAGGAGGCUCCAUAUUCACUGUGCGGGAGAAGAGUGGCCGGGUUCGGGUCAUCGUUGCCCGGGAGACCAUUCCGGUGGGGGCCAGAGCAGACCUGCUGAAGGAAUGUCCUUUGAAGGGAAAGACAGACAGCCAGUGGAUCGGCAUUCCAGGGGAGCUUCGUGGCUACGAGCGGGCCCACCAGCUCUAUGGGCGGCUUCCUUGGGCCAGUCUGUUCCAGCCUACCAUUCGGCUAGCUCGCCAGGGCGUCCCCCUGUCCGCUGUCAUGAGCCGUUUCAAGGACCUCCAGGAACUUGAAGAAACUUCACCUCUACGGAAGCUGUUCUCCCAUAAGAACAACACCCUGCUGAAAGUGGGCGAGAUGGUGAAGUUUGAGAAGCUGGCAGACACGCUGGAGGUCAUCGCCAGAGAGGGUGCGGGCGCUUUCUACAUGGGGCCGCUUGCCGAGGAUCUCGUCCAGGAUGUGAGGGAUGCAGGUGGAACUUUGUCCAUGGAGGAUCUGAACUCGUACACAGUAAAAGAAGUGGACCCAUGGUCAAUUAAAAUAGGAGAUUAUACGAUGUACUUUCCUCCACCGCCAUCAGGUGGUGCUAUUCUCAGCUUCAUCCUUAAUAUAAUGAAAGGUUUCAACCUUGACUCAUUCUCCAUUCUUGGAAAGCAGAAGACCUUGACUUAUCACCGCUAUAUUGAAGCAUGCAAGUUUGCCAAUAGCAGGAGGAGUGACAUCCGUGACCCUGCCUUUGUUUCUGACAGGAAUGCAUUCCAGAUGAUGACAGAAGAGCUAGCAGAUCGCGUGCGGCUCAUGAUCAGCAGCAACCGCACUUACGACCUCUCCUACUACAACACCACGCCUUCCGGGGACCAUAUGGGCACCACUCACCUAUCGGUGCUGGAUGAGGAAGGCACCGCGGUGUCUGUCACCAGCUCCAUCAACUUCAUCUUAGGCUCCAAGAUCUACUCCCCAAAGACCGGAGUAAUCCUCAACAACCAGCUGCGGGACUUCUGUGGCCAUGCAGACAGCGUCUCUGCUGGGGAGCGCCCCCCCUCCUCCAUGGCCCCCGUCGUGCUCCACUCUGAAACCAGCUCCAGGGUGCUGCUGAUUGGUGCUUCUGGGGGCAGCAUGAUCCUCGGAGGUAUAGCCCAGACCAUGAUGAACCACCUUUGGUUUGGGAUGAAUCUGAAGGAUGCCAUUUCAACUCCGACUGUAUAUGUGGAUCAGAAAAACACUGUGAAGUUCGAACCCAAAUUUGACCAGAUGCCACCUUGGAGGAGAAACUGGGGAUGAUGAAGCAGUUAGUAGCUGGCAGGGAUUUCAGCGACUCAUGGACAAGCUGAGAAUGAGCGAAAUGCAAUGAUCAAGCAGGAACACGUGGAGCAGCCCGUCCCGGGAACAUCAUGGAGCAGCCCGUCCCGGGAACACGUGGAGCAGCCCGUCCCGGGAACACGUGGAGCAGCCCGUCCCGGGAACAUCAUGGAGCAGCCCGUCCCGGAAACACGUGGAGCAGCCCGUCCUGGGAACACGUGGAGCAGCCCGUCCCGGGAACAUCAUGGAGCAGCCCGUCCCGGGAACACGUGGAGCAGCCCGUCCCGGGAACAUCAUGGAGCAGCCCGUCCCGGAAACACGUGGAGCAGCCCGUCCCGGGAACACGUGGAGCAGCCCGUCCCGGGAACACGUGGAGCAGCCCGUCCCGGGAACAUUAUGGAGCAGCCCGUCCUGGGAACACGUGGAGCAGCCCGUCCCGGGAACAUCAUGGAGCAGCCCGUCCCGGGAACACGUGGAGCAGCCUGUCCCGGGAACAUCAUGGAGCAGCCCGUCCCGGAAACACGUGGAGCAGCCCGUCCCGGGAACACGUGGAGCAGCCCGUCCUGGGAACACGUGGAGCAGCCCGUCCCGGGAACAUCAUGGAGCAGCCCGUCCCGGGAACACGUGGAGCAGCCCGUCCCGGGAACACGUGGAGCAGCCCGUCCCGGGAACACAGCUGCAGACGCCACAGAUUCCCAUCAAAUCAUGCGACUUAGUCACUUUUUUAAAGGGGUCACAUGACGUACACGAUACAAAGAUGCAGCACUUCAAGGCCUUGAAGGCUGGCAGUUACUGGGAUUUGGUUCAGUGUCACAAGCUGCAGGAGACCCUGCUAAGAUGUAAGAAUGACAAGAAAACUUGAAAGACAGUCACAGCUGUAAAAGCUGCAGCCUGAAAAUAUAGGACGGAGGGAACCUGUGUCGAGACAGGUAAAGCGUAGAGCCUGACUGGACCGGAUCCAUAUUAAUUAGGACCGGCCUGGUCCCAUAUCAGGAAACACCUGUAACCACACUAUCCUCGACCCAAGACUCUGAGUGUUGUCCAAGCCGAACAGGGUUGAAAUUAAAGUAAGGUGGAGUCUUUUUCAAUUUUUCAUGCUUGCUGUAUAAGUUUGGAUUUUAGUGAAGUUUGUGGAUUUCUGUGAUUUUUGUGUUUGUAAGUAUAUUGAUGUAAUUGAGGUGUAAGUAAGGUUUGGAAAGAGGCUAGCUGUGUGUGCCGCAUGGCUAAGGUUCCGAGCAUGGGGACCCUGGGGGUGAGACUGUCCACGGGAGGAGCCUGUGGGGUGACCAUUGCUGGUCGUGGAUGGAAACUGGGGGGAGGAUCCCAGCGUUCCGUCAGCUGGUGGCUGCCCGAGACGUUGGAAAAGUCCAUAAUGUUAGUGGCGCCACUAUCUCUGGGUGUCAAAUUGUGAGAUUGUGUGGGAGGGACGAGGAUGCGAGGUGGAUGGUGAGACAGAGAGCAGGCAGCCAGAGAUGGGUAAGAUCCGGGAGAGCUGAUAUUCCUGAGUGAGAAGGGGACCCCUGAGAGAGGCAGCCUAUGGUGGGAUCAACCUAAGACAAGUGCUGUCAGAUGGCCUGCUCCAUGAGGUAAAAGCAAGCGAGGAGUGCUGUAAGAGACCAGUAGAUCUCUAAGGCAUUCUGCUGCAAGGCCAUUCAGUGCUUUAUAAGCUAAUAGAAGUAUUUUGUAGUCUUUUGUAGUAUUUUGUAGUCAAUCUGAGACUUAACAGGACGCCAAUGAAGGGAGCAUAGAACAGGGCUAAUAUGAUCAAAUUGUUUAGUGUUUGUAAGAACUCUGGCUGCUGUAUUCUGUACCAGCUGAAGUUUAUGUAAGGAUCCAGAUGGGAAACCAGAAAUGAGAGCAUGACAGUAGCCCAGUCUGGAAGUUAUAGAGGCAUGUAUUAGUUUUUCAUCAUGAAAGGAGAGCAUCUUCCGAAGCUUGGCUGUGUUUCACAGAUGGUAUAACACAGUUCUAGUAAUACUUUGUAUGUGAGCAUCAAAUCAUACAUCUGAAUCAACCAGAAAACCAACAUCUCUAACCACUGUGUUAAGCUGAGUAGGAAGAUCACUGAGGUUGAGGCUGUCAAACUUAUUUUGACCUUUAGUCCACCUACCAGUAAUUCUGUUUUUUUCUGGGUUCAACAUUUUUUGCCAUCCAACACCAGAUGCAUAGUAGACAGUCUUCUGACCGAGAGACCUGAGAUGCAUCAUUUGGUUUAACAGCCCUUGUGUGGAUCACCCCAGCUGCCUCUCGUCUGCUCCCUCAUCAGUGCUGUAUAUAGUGCCUUCCUGUCUGGAGCUCCCCAGUCUGGUCAUUGUUGUUGCUGCCUCCGUGUACUCCCCAGUUUGCCCUGUGUUCCGGUCUGAUCCUUCCUACCCCAAUUUGGCCCCCCUGUGGUUCCUUUCUUUUUCACUUGCUUGUAGUUUUGUUUAAUAAAUGCCCUUUUGAUUUUUCCCAUGCCUGCCUUUGCCUGUGACGUGACAGAGAAACCCUACCAAAAACACCUGGGCAUCUCAAAGCUGCACCACACAGCAUCAUCAUUGGACCUACCUCCGCCCCCUCCACCGCUCCCCCAUGCAGGUCCCUUCUUGGAGAUCCAUUAGCAGUUUCCCUCUUUUGUAGAGAGAAAGUCCUCUCCUCCAGCCAGGAUCACAGAAAGCCCUCUCCUCCAGCCAGGAUCACGUAAAGCCCUCUCCUCCAGCCAGGAUCACAGAAAGCCCUCUCCUCCAGCCAGGAUCACAGAAAGUCCUCUCCUCCAGCCAGGAUCACAGAAAGCCCUCUCCUCCAGCCAGGAUCACAGAAUGUCCUCUCCUCCAGCCAGGAUCACAGAAAGCCCUCUCCUCCAGCCAGGAUCACAGAAAGCCCUCUCCUCCAGCCAGGAUCACGUAAAGCCCUCUCCUCCAGCCAGGAUCACAGAAAGUCCUCUCCUCCAGCCAGGAUCACGUAAAGCCCUCUCCUCCAGCCAGGAUCACAGAAUGUCCUCUCCUCCAGCCAGGAUCACAGAAUGUCCUCUCCUCCAGCCAGGAUCACAGAAAGCCCUCUCCUCCAGCCAGGAUCACGUAAAGCCCUCUCCUCCAGCCAGGGUCACGUAAAGCCCUCUCCUCCAGCCAGGAUCACAGAAAGCCCUCUCCUCCAGCCAGGAUCACAGAAAGCCCUCUCCUCCAGCCAGGAUCACAGAAAGCCCUCUCCUCCAGCCAGGAUCACAUAAAGCCCUCUCCUCCAGCCAGGAUCACAGAAAGCCCUCUCCUCCAGCCAGGAUCACAGAAAGCCCUCUCCUCCAGCCAGGGUCACGUAAAGCCCUCUCCUCCAGCCAGGAUCACAGAAAGCCCUUUCCUCCAGCCAGGAUCACGUAAAGCCCUCUCCUCCAGCCAGGGUCACGUAAAGCCCUCUCCUCCAGCCAGGAUCACAGAAUGUCCUCUCCUCCAGCCAGGAUCACAGAAACCCCUCUCCUCCAGCCAGGAUCACGUAAACUCCUCUCCUCCAGCCAGGGUCAGCAUAUCGUUAUUCCUUUCUAUGAAAGCUUUGUGCUGUUGCCAAACACCUGUGUUUGCGUCUAGGGCAGUGUUUCCCAGUGAGUAGAUCUGCUUUAGCAGCAGUGUGUAAACUGGGCCAGCAAAGCACUGCACACUUCAGAGCAUGGGGCCAAACUGGAGAUGUACUUUAAGUCACGCCCCUUGCUAGUCAUGUGGGGAACUGCAAAUGUAAAUGAAUGGAAAGGUUGGGUGAUUGUUCACCAAUCUUGUCCUGCUUUGUGUAGAAGGGAUUCAGGUAAACAUAGUAUUUAUUAGGGGAGACAGACACUGGGGAACACGAAGCAACAAGCAGAACUGGCCUCAUGAGGUUAAUGACAUUAAUGACCGGACUGGGGAAACAUUUAAGGAAAUGUGCUUAAAUACAUUGGACUAAUUAAAGACAACUAGAAACAGCUGAUAAGAAUUGGAUUCCACAGGAGGUAAACGAGGAGGCAUGGCACACGGGGGGGGGGGGGGUCAGAACGAGAUGUGACAAAGAUAUGGACCCUUCCAUAAUUAUUGGCACCCUGGUUAAAAUGCAUCACAUCAUAUAUAUAUACCUAUACCCUGGUAAAAGUGAUGGAGCCAUGCAUUACUGCCUGAAAGUUUCUAGGCAUAAAAUAUAAAUGGAGAAAAUGUUUCAGUUACAUUUUCUUCAUAAGAAUUUCUAGGUGUGCCAGGUGCUGUGGCUUUUUGCGCAUUAAUUAAAAAUAAUUUCUUGAUGAGGGAUUUUUUUCCUCAGAAUAAAUUUACUUCAAUUAAA